UUUAAGUACUUUUUCGGGCAUUUUU
rnacentral:siRNA from 1 species